rnacentral:tRNA from 1 species
AAGUCGGUGGUUCAGUGGUAGAAUACUCGCCUGCCACGCGGGUGGCCCGGGUUCGAGUCCCGGCCGACGCA